GAUCAGGUCGGAAUGUUCUGUUCUGCUUCGAGGCCAUCAGAAAACUGUCAAUCAUCCAAGACAAUCACUGGGGCAGAGGAUGCAGACUAUACUCCCCACGCGCGUUGCCUCCGCGUCACCCGAAACUCUCCAGCUCGGUGAAAAGGAAAGCGAGACUUAAAAGACGCGCCGUCUGCCUCGCCCAGAAGUUACUUGGCUCUCCGGCUUUCCUCUUUUUAUUCCACACACACACCCCUCCCACAGUCACGGAACCCGGAAGUUUGUGUGUGAGCGCGUCUCUUUUCUGCGUGGUGGUUGGCGUUUCGUUUCGUUUUUCUUUUUUUCUUUUUUUAAUUUCUAUCACAUGGCAGCUUGCGAGAGAGAUACAAUAAAAACAGAAAAAUGGCGACAGUCACGUUGGGGCGACUCUGCUGCGUCAUUAGAUAAUCUUCGCGCAAAGAAAGCUAAAGAACAAAGACGAGAGAGCGCGAGGGGGGGAGAAGCAGCGCGUCUGGAAAGACUCCUGGCCCGGUUCCUUUCCAGUCAAGUGAUUGUAAAUAUAGCCCGGGUGUUGUUUACAUGAAACCAUCCAGGGGGAGGAGCGCAGAGAGGAGGAAGAGGAAGGCGGAGGAGGCUUCCCAGGCUGGCAGGGUAACUUGUGGAAGGACCUAAGCCCUGAAGCAUCCCUUGCUUCUUGAAGAGAUCUUAAGCCAGGAUUAAUGGGACUUUGAAAUGCUGCCUCUGCCAAAAGUCAUUUAUCUGCACAAUUCCUGAACGUAUAAGACGGCUCUCUGGAUGUCACUGGCAGUGAAAAAGCGAAGAUGCCUAAUGCCUUUUUCUGAAGAAUGCAGCUCCUAAUGUUGCCAGCCUCAAAUCUAAUUUUCCAGGAACUUCCCUCAGUUCUAUCUGAAAAUCCACAACCAACUGGAUAUGGAAUUAAUGCAUCUAAAAAAAUGUGCAUCACAUGGCAGCUUUCAGUCAGAACUGGAAAGGAGAGAUGAGUUUCCUCCACUUCUGUUCCCUGGACUCUGUCCAAAAGUCCAGUCCUGACGGCAAAACUGGCCACAGAAGUUAUUACCUUUAUAGCAGAUAAUUAGGAAUACCUUAUGGAUAAUAAGAGCAGGUGGAUGCAGUCUUUUGUUGUGUGAAACUGCACUUAAAACCAUCAAGAUACCACAGUAGCGUACAUACCGAUCUGUGGAUCAACUGAUGGAACCUGCACCUUGGGGUUAUCUGAUAGUUCUACAUGAAGUCAGGCAAUGAUUGACAGGCUGCCCUGGCUCAGUUAUCACUGUGCUGAUGCUGUCUAUACUAAAGGUACAGUACUGUGAUAACUGAAGGAUGGUAGCCAUCUUAGCUUCAGAGGAAUUCAACAUGUGGAGAUCAAAGGCAUUAUUUGAUUCUGUAACACUUAUGAUGCUUUAUAAUUAAAGAGAGCACAUCUGGAUGCUGGAAAAACAUA